rnacentral:rRNA from 1 species
UGGGAAGUACAACGAGUUGCGAAGUCGCGAGGCUAAGCUAAUCUCUUAAAGCUUCUCUCAGUUCGGAUUGCAGGCUGCAACUCGCCUGCAUGAAGCCGGAAUCGCUAGUAAUCGCGGAUCAGCACGCCGCGGUGAAUACGUUCCCGGGCCUUGUACACACCGCCCGUCACACCACGAGAGUUUGUAACACCCGAAGUCGGUGAGGUAACCUUUUUGGAGCCAGCCGCCUAA